UACGGAGGGGACUAGCGUUGUUCGGAAUUACUGGGCGUAAAGCGUGCGCAGGCGGUUUGUUAAGUCUGCUGUGAAAUCCCCGAGCUCAACUUGGGAAUUGCAGUGGAUACUGGCAGGCUGGAGUAUGGUAGAGGAAGGUGGAAUUCCCGGCGUAGCAGUGAAAUGCGUAGAGAUCGGGAGGAACACCAGUGGCGAAGGCGGCCUUCUGGACCAAUACUGACGCUCAUGCACGAAAGCGUGGGGAGCAAACAGG
rnacentral:rRNA from 1 species